AWUCGRGGGGCAGCGGAGAGUAGCAAUACUCUGCCGGCGACCGGCGAAAGGGUGCGUAACGCGUGAGCAACUUGCCCGUAUCCGGGACAUAAGUGGUGGAAACGCCGUCUAAUUUCCCAUAACAACAGAGGCCGCAUGACCUUUGUUUGAAAGAUCCGUCGGAUACGGAUGGGCUCGCGAGACAUUAGCUAGUCGGCGUGGUAACGGCACACCGAGGCGACGAUGUCUAGGGGUUCUGAGAGGAAGGUCCCCCACACUGGAACUGAGACACGGUCCAGACUCCUACGGGAGGCAGCAGUGAGGAAUAUUGGUCAAUGGGCGCAAGCCUGAACCAGCCAUGCCGCGUGAAGGAAUAAGGCCCUAUGGGUCGUAAACUUCUUUUGUGGUGGAGCAAUAAGGUGCACGUGUGCAUCGAUGAGAGUACAUCACGAAUAAGCAUCGGCUAACUCCGUGCCAGCAGCCGCGGUAAUACGGAGGAUGCAAGCGUUAUCCGGAUUUAUUGGGUUUAAAGGGUGCGUAGGCUGUUCGACAAGUCAGGGGUGAAAGCCCAGUGCCUAACACUGGAACUGCCUUUGAUACUGCCGAGCUGGAAUACGGAUGCCGUGGGAGGAAUGAGUAGUGUAGCGGUGAAAUGCAUAGAUAUUACUCAGAACACCGAUUGCGAAGGCAGCGCGCCGCAGCUGUACUGACGCUCAUGCUCGAAGGCGCGGGUAUCGAACAGGAUUAGAUACCCUGGUAGUCCGCGCGGUAAACGAUGGACGCCCGCUGUGUGCCAUUGCGGUACGCGGCCAAGCGAAAGCGUUAAGCGUCCCACCUGGGGAGUACGCCGGCAACGGUGAAACUCAAAGGAAUUGACGGGGGCCCGCACAAGCGGAGGAACAUGUGGUUUAAUUCGAUGAUACGCGAGGAACCUUACCCGGGCUUGAACUGCAGGAGAACGAUUCAGAGAUGAUGAGGUCCUUCGGGACUCCUGUGGAGGUGCUGCAUGGUUGUCGUCAGCUCGUGCCGUGAGGUGUCGGCUUAAGUGCCAUAACGAGCGCAACCCCUUCCGGUAGUUGCCAUCAGGUGAAGCUGGGCACUCUGCCGGUACUGCCACCGUAAGGUGCGAGGAAGGUGGGGAUGACGUCAAAUCAGCACGGCCCUUACGUCCGGGGCUACACACGUGUUACAAUGGGUGGUACAGAGAGCUGGCGCUGCGCGAGCCGCGCCGAAUCCUCAAAGCCUCCCUCAGUUCGGACCGGGGUCUGCAACCCGACCCCGCGAAGCUGGAUUCGCUAGUAAUCGCGCAUCAGCCAUGGCGCGGUGAAUACGUUCCCGG
rnacentral:rRNA from 1 species